UCGCUUUGGCAGCAGGUACAAUGAAAUUGGGACCAUACAGAGAAGAGUAGCACAGCCCCUGGCCAAGUAUGAUGUGCGAACUCAUGAAGCAUUCCCUAAUUUU